CUUCAAGUUGGUGGUUCUAAAUUGAGGAUUGAGUUUUGUGUUCAUUACGUGGAUGUAAUCUAUUUUUAAGCGUUUAAUGCAUUUUCAGGUCCACAAAAUGAACAAGUUUUGGAAACAUCGUGGGUGUUCAUAAAUAAUGGAUCAUCUUCAAUUCGUUAGAUGCAUUUUGGUACUGAGUUAAUGAUACGCGCCGAAGAAAUUUUUAAAGCAAUCCUUUGUUUAAGGAUUAUGCCUCGAUUGAUUUUAAAUUUAUUAACGCAUUUGGCUAUUAAGACCGUUUAUAUCAUCUGUUUACCAUAAUGUCAUAAAGUUAGGAUAUAGUUUA